UUUUAACAGAACAUUAUGAAUAAAGAGCUGAUGUAAGAGGAUGUGGCUGACUCCGAGGAAGUGCCAGACAGGCUUUUGACAUUUAACGAGGUGGAUCAGAAACAGAAUUGGAGCUAUUUUAUCUGGACCUAAUUAAACAACCGUCAUUACUGGCAGUUCUUGAAAUAAAUGAAGGCAGCUCCUGGUCUGACUCUUCAUUGAUACAUUUUGUGUUUGUUUAAUUUUCCAUAAAAAUAUUGUGUGCUCAUAAAAAUAUCAACAGAUGUGCCAUGCUAGGGUCUGACUAGGUCUUUUGAUACAUUAAGCUAGGGUAGUAUGUAGCAGCACUGCUACUCACCAUUUCCCUCCAGCUCAGGAAUCCACUUCAUACUAGUGUCAUACCUCAUUUCAU